GAUGAACGCUGGCGGCGUGCCUAAUACAUGCAAGUCGAGCGAACAGACGAGGAGCUUGCUCCUCUGACGUUAGCGGCGGACGGGUGAGUAACACGUGGAUAACCUACCUAUAAGACUGGGAUAACUUCGGGAAACCGGAGCUAAUACCGGAUAACAUAUUGAACCGCAUGGUUCAAUAGUGAAAGGCGGUUUUGCUGGCAGUUAUAGAUGGAUCCGCGCCGCAUUAGCUAGUGGGUAAGGUAACGGCUUCCCAAGGCAACGAUGCGUAGCCGACCGGAGAGGGUGAUCGGCCACACUGGAACUGAGACACGGUCCAGCCUCCUACGGGAGGCAGCAGUAGGGAAUCUUCCGCAAUGGGCGAAAGCCUGCCGGAGCAACGCCGCGUGAGUGAUGAAGGUCUUCGGAUCGUAAAACUCUGUUAUUAGGGAAGAACAAAUGUGUAAGUAACUAUGCACGUCUUGACGGUACCUAAUCAGAAAGCCACGGCUAACUACGUG
rnacentral:rRNA from 1 species